rnacentral:rRNA from 1 species
ACACGACUACAUUAGAUACCCGGUAGUCCUGGCGUAACGAUGUGGACUUGGUGUUGGAAUGGCUCCGAGCUGCUCCAGUGCCGUAGGGAAGCCGUGAAGCGAGCCACCUGGGAAGUACGGCCGCAAGGCUGAAACUUAAAGGAAUUGGCGGGGGAGCACAACAACGGGUGGAGCUUGCGGUUUAAUUGGAUUCAACGCCGGAAAUCUUACCGGGACCGACAGCAACAUGAAGGCCAAGCUGAAGACUUCGCCGGAUUAGCUG